GCGCUGUGGGAUGAACCAAACGCCGGGUUAAGGCGCCCGAUGCGAGACGCUCAUGAGACCCCAUGAAAGGUGUUGGUUGCUACAGACAGCAGGACGGUGGCCAUGGAAGUCGGAAUCCGCUAAGGAGUGUGUAACAACUCACCUGCCGAAGCAACUAGCCCUGAAAAUGGAUGGCGCUUCAGCGUCGAGCCCAUACCCGGCCGUCGCGGCUGUAGGU
rnacentral:rRNA from 1 species